UAAGCAUAUCAGUAAGGGGGAGGAAAAGAAACUAACCAGGAUUCUCCUAGUAACGGCGAGUGAACGGAGAUUAGCCCAUCACCGAAGUCUAUCCGCGUUUGUGGACAGGACAAUGUGGUGUUUGGACGUGCCCCUGGGAACGCUGGCCUACCCGAAGUCCAUCUCCGAUUCUGGCCUGGACCAUUGCCAUAGAGGGUGAAAGACCCUUGCGGGUAGGCUGUGAGUGUUUUAAUGCGUUCCUCAGACGGGUGCGUCUUCGAGUCGGAUUGCUUGAGAAUGCAGUCCAAAGUGGGUGGUAAACUCCAUCCAAGGCUAAAUACUGGCACGAGUCCGAUAGUAGACAAGUACCGUGAGGGAAAGUUGAAAAGUACUCUGAAGAGAGAGUAAAGAGCACGUGAAGCCGCUUGCAGGGAAGCUGGUGGAGUCAAGCUUCAUGCCUGGAGGAUUGCCUUGAGAGACUGGUUUGGUGUUUGGGCGAGGUGUCGGUGAGCCUGGAAAGGGUUCGACGCAUGCAAGUGCGUUGCAAGUCAUUCCGGGAAGGGUGUUUGUGCCGGUGCCUGUGUGUUGCCCUGUGUCUCUUUUGGCUUAUUCUCCGCGGCAUACACCACGGUCAAUAGGAUCAACCUUGUUGCAUGUACUGUGUGAGUGCUUAACCGAGCCUCUGUGGACUUAACCGUCUGCGGGGCUCGGAAUGGCAGAAGGCGCAUGUGGACCUCCGGUCUGCACUGUGCUAAUGAUGGUUUUGACCUGCUAGUGCUCAUGUACAGUAUCGAUCCUAUUGUUCUUAUGCGGUGCUCGCUCCCCGGAGCGAGUGUCGGUGGAAACCGUGGUGCUGAGGUAGAU
rnacentral:rRNA from 1 species